UGCUGCUGGCGAACUGCAGAUGGCACAGGAAGAGGCAGAGUCAUCCCUGGGCCGAUGCUGCAGGCAGGACAGACACCUGCAGCCAUUCCAUGCAGUUCUGAACAGCCGUGCACGAGGGCCAUCCCGUAUCCUGGCUGUGUAAGGACUUGUUUACAGAAAAGCUUACUGGAAAACAUGAGACAAAGUAGAGGAGGAGACAGAAAACAAACUCCUGUGGAAUUCCCUUUACCCCAGACUGUUCAUGGAGAUCAGUGCGCCCAAGUGCACAGGGUCGCUGUUUUGAGGAAGCCUUAGAAAACAAACCUUCUUCUAUCUUUCUCCGGCUGCCAAAACAGAUAUGAAACAAAACUUUGCAGGCCAGUUCUUGGGAGAACUUCUCAUCAUGAUGCCCUGCCUAAAGCUCUCGUGCCCUUUAUGCAGGGACGUGACAGUUCCUGAGCAGAGCCUCCUUCACACAAGUUAUUUCUGUAUCAGCGUUGCUGCACACUAGGCUGCUUAAAUCCGGUGCAAUCCAGGAAGAGGUGAUUCCUCCUCUGCCUGCCCUGCUCACAGCGCGUUGUCACCUACUCUGUGAACCACGCCAGAUGCUGCAGCUUUGCUUUUACUUGGGGAAUUACAUGCUAAGGUGGUUUCUCCUUCCCAUCCCCCAAAUCUCCAGUCACAAAAACAAGCAAAUGCUUGUGAGCUAAUCUUGUGCAGAGACUUUAUUAAAUAAACACAACUGGUACUGGUGACUUGUUUGUUUGGGGUUGGUUUUUUUUUUUUGUUUUGCAUUUGCUAUCUUUGGAAAGCUAAUCCUCCGGAGUCCACCCAGCGAUUUCAGUCACCUCCAAAUAACACUUACUAACAACCUUAAUAAAUCCAUCUCCUAAGCAGCAGUCACUACUGCCUGGCACUGAAUUACACAGAACCCCUCAGAAGCUCUGCUUCAGCUGACGCCCUUGUUUAUCUUGAUCAUAAGUGAAAUGGAGCACUUGCUCUAUACAUUCUCAAACCCCCUCGAACGCCUCUUUUGGGCAGUGUGACUGCACACACUAAUGAAGAGGAAGGCGGUCAGGAGGAUGUGACUUGCAGGCUUCUUCCACCCUGCUCCAAGCCAGCUGCUGAGCACUUCUCACAAGGUUGCUUAUAUCUGGCUUAAGAG